UUUUCCUUCCUAUUUGACUAUAGUACCCUUUUUGUACCUGGAGAAAAUUGUGAACCUUGGUUUCAUUUUGACAAUGGAAACCUGAGGAGGGGGUAGAGGGAGGGGGGGUGCUUCUUUGCCCUCCUGGAGAGUGUAACCUUCACUCGAGAGUCGAUACCAACUGCUUAGUUGCACAGAGUACAUUCGAAGAUGACAAAGUUGCAUCCCAUUAGAACUUAUGUGUUGACUCCAUGUAGCAUUGAAGAUGCUUCUAAAUCAUGAUGCUGGAAUUAUCCAAUGAAACCACAUGCAUCUAACCUCUUCUUGCGACCUGACUCUACUAAUGGACACCUGAAGUUACUAACAGACGCCACCUCCGAAGGUGGAGUGACACACAUGGUCAAAUCACUUGUGAAGGUGGAGUGACAGACAUGGUCAAAUCUCUGGAGGUUUGUCAUAUUCUACCAAAACCAUGGAAUCCCUUCUCAAAUC